GGAAGCUUGGGGCAAAAGUCAUCCUCAGGUUCAAGUUCUGAGGAAGGAUAUGUGUUAAAUGGUUGUAUUUAUAAGGCGGUCAGGUUAGUUAUGACUGACUGGCACUAAGUGGUGAUAAAUGGUUGUAUUUAUAAGGCGGUCAGGUUAGCUAUGACCUACUGGCACUAAGUGAUGGUGAAAGUAAAAGUUGAAGUUAAGUGAAAAGUUUUAAAGUUAAGUGAAAAGUUU